AGUGAAGGGACACACUGCAGCUGUUCUGUGUUGUCAGAGCUCUUUGUGGAUGGCAGAACUUAUUUGGAGGGCCAUGAGAGACCAGGUGAGGUGAGAUGUUGCCUGUUGGUAACAUUGUUUAGUAUUUUGGGUCUGGCAGGGUAUUGUCAAGGCUUAGCUGUGUGUGAGUGUGUGAGUGAAGCAUUGGGGUCUUUGUAGGUUUAGUGUUUGGUUGUCACUGUUGUCUGUAGGUGCAAGCAUAUAUGCAGUUGUGAUCCGGACACAACUGUGUAUAUGUGGAAGCCUACGGCAGAUAGUGUUUGAAGUGCAGGCUGAAGUGUGUAGUUGAGUGUUGUCAGGCUUAGUUGUGGUUAUUUGUCAGUGUAGGUUUAGUGUGUGUGUGUCUUAGAUGUAGUUGGCUCUUGAUGUAGAGGCUGUCAAUAGUUGUAUGUUGUUGAUGGAGCUGUGUGGCUAGGUGUUUAAGUGCUGUGCUUAGACCUGUAGGUGUGUGGCUGUGGUCAUGGAGGAGGUCAAAGUGGAACUCAGGAUGGAGCAGCUGAUCAAGAGGACCAUGAGAGACAAGGAGGAAGUGUUGGAUCAGCGGUAGUUGGUGGGUGUCCUGGGCCACGAGGAAGAAUUGUAUAGAGCUUUUUCUCCUGUUGGGGUUGUGGAGGGUGUGUUUGCAAAUAAAAGCUUGUUUUGUACCCAAUGGCAGUUGUCUGUUUGGCUGUGCUUA